ACGUGCGUGCGCAUACACACCACCCCUCACCUCGCUGCUGCUGCUGUGACAGCUCCACGGACCCUGCCCAGUCGCUGCUCCCCCGCCACUCGCCUCUGUCCCCCGCACGAGGCUACGCACGACGUGCCGGCCACCCCGCACUGCUCUUGACCCUGACUGCGAAUGGCGCUGUGCGUGCGUCGGCUGGUGCUGGCGGCGACCCUCGCCGCUGUGGUGGCGCUGCUGCUGUGCACGAGCAGUGCGCCGGUGGCGCGUGCUGCUGGAAUAAGCGACUUUACUUCUGCGCAGCAGUUGAAUACGCGGAAGGUGGUGAGGGUAUUUGGGCGUGCGAUCCCUGAGCUUGAGAAGCAGUGGACGGGCGAGGACUUCUGCUCGUGGAAGUACGUUACCUGCUAUUCCUCCGCCGUCGGCGUAUGGGUGGACAGUGCGGAUUAUGCCGGCACGCUGCCGGAGAUGCCUACAGACGUCGAUUACAAGCACGUCGUGAUCACGCUACUCGAAUUCAGCGCAAUGGGCCAGAGGCUGAGCGGGACGCUGCCCGCCUCGUGGAGCUCGAUGACAUCGCUGAUGUCGUUGUGGCUUGAAGGGUGCGAACGUGUCACUGGGACGCUGCCCACCUCGUGGAGCUCGAUGAAAGCGCUGAGAGAUCUCAAUCUGCAUGCCACUCAGGUCUCCGGCAGUCUGCCGCCUCAGUGGAGCUCGAUGACAUCGCUGGCCACGCUUUCUCUGCGGCUCACGAAGGUCUCCGGCAGUCUGCCGUCCGAGUGGAGCUCGAUGACAUCGCUGACCCUUCUCGAUCUGCAGGGCGCUAAGGUCUCCGGCAGUCUGCCGUCCGAGUGGAGUGGGAUGAAGAGUGCCGAGGUCCUGCAGCUGCAGGACUGCGACCUGUCCGGCAGUCUGCCCUCCUCGUGGUCUGCGAUGCCGAAGCUGGCGAAAGUCUCCCUGACCGGCAACCACUUCUGCGGGUGUGUGCCUGAGUCGUGGACGUCGACACAACGUAUUGCUGUGACCAUCGAGGACGAGCACAAGGGCAGGAACUGCAAGCUUGGUAAUAAGUGCCGCCAGGCGGCGCCCACUACCACUGCCACCCCAACAGCCACGCCUACUCCUGCCCCCGAGACGGAGUGCGAGGUGGAUGGGUGUGAGGUGUGCGAGGGGGACUCCGCGGCGAGGUGCGCCAGGUGCCGUGAGGGCUACUUCCUGACGAGCGAGAAGACGUGUCGGGCCAACCGCGAUGGCGGCGUUGCGGCCGCGUCGAGCGGAGCGGCUGCUGCCGCUGCUGUGUGCAUGGCUGUGCUGCUGAGCGUGGGGCUGGCGGCAUGAGGAUGCCGCUGCUGUCUCGGUGUCGCUCCUCUGCCCUGACUCUCUCUCCCGCCCGCGUGUGUGCCUGUGGGCUGAUGGGGGCGGAGCGCGGGUGUGUGUGGAGCGGGGCAGCCGCUGCAGAGAGGGGGAGGGCGGUAGCCGAUGUGCAAGGGCCGCGGUGUUUGUGCGGCCAUGUGCGGGUGUGCGGCACACGGGCGCUGCGUGCAUCGGCUUUGGACCGACAGCCCGCACCCCCUUCCGUCGCCUCCACUUCUCCCUCGCUCCCUCGUUGCACGUGAGAGUCGCGCACCCAUGGCUGCUGCGGCGCACACGCAAGGCAGCGUGUAUUGUGUCUCGGUGCGACCUCUUCAUCGUGGCCCCGCUCUGCGACACCUUGUUGCCCGGGCACUCCGGCGGCGUGCGCUCUGUCCCCCUCUCCUGUCACGUGUCGUGAUGCGCUGCUGCGCUGAGGAUGCGUACACACGGCCUGCCAGCACGGCUGCUGCACGAGCCGCAGCAAUGGCGUACAGCAGGGUGUGGGCGUCGGGCGCAGUGCUGGUCUGGUGAGGCGGACCCCUCUUAUCUGUGGUGCCCCUGCUGCCUCCCCUCCCCCUCGGCACGACGCCCUCGCUGCCCUCUCACCCCCGGCUGCUACAGGAGAGACCGACGCCCACGCGCGGACGCAGACACACACCAUCGUGCACCGUUCGCGCUUUCCCCCGCUGUCGCGCCGGCACGGAUGCACGGAGACGCGGGGGCGUGCGCACGUAUGUGCGUGUGUGCGUGCCGGCUGUUGUCUGUCGCUCUCUCUCUGCGACCAGCACUCGGCACCCGCGCCGAUGGAAUGUGUGCGCGGCGGUGGAGGCUCGCCUUGGGCCGCGGGUGCGGACGUCCGCCACUGGCUGUCUGCGGUGCGGGCUGCUGUGCUGCAGCGCCUCGAGGCCCCCCUCUCCCGCCAGGGCGAGCGAGCGAGCCUCUGCUGCCGUGUGGGCGACGCACGCAUGCACCGUCCGGGCCUCUUCAACGGGCUUCGAUAGCGGUGCUGUGUUUUGGCCGUGUGGGCGGGUGCUGCGGAGGCGCCUGGCGUGGCUGUGCUGGCACGCCUUGCCGCGCCCCUUGCGCCGCUGCCAUCGGCGGCUUCGUCGCUGACGCUGCCGCUCGCACGCGUGCUCGGGCCGUCUGUGCAGCAGCGGUGGUGUGCCGGAGUCGGCGGCACGCCGUCGAACCCUGAUUGGCGCCUCCGCGAGGUGCGACGGGGAAGCUGGGGGAUGGGGAGGGCGUGGGCGCCCUCGUGCGCGGCAUGCGGGGAUGCGCGUGCGGCGGCGCUCUACUGCGCUGAGUAGUGAGGCUCGGUGCACGCGGCGCGAUGGCACGCAGCCUCGCUACCGGGCCACCCCGCUGUGCGUACGCAGCGGGUGAGCAGGCCCGUGCUCUCCCCUGCAGCUUGCCCCUCUCCCCCACCCUCCUCUCUCGCAUGCCGGCGAGGGAGGGGUGGCACGUGCGCGUGUGCCGCUGCGCUUGCGAGUGCGUCUGUGCGUGGGCCCUCACCACGUGCUCCGGUCACGCCUUUUCGGCUGGCCACUCGCGGCGCUGAGGGCGGUGUGCCCCUCCCCCGAGCGCCGUCGCACUCUCUUCCGCGCGCCUGCGCGGGCUUCUUCGUGCGCUGUGCUCAGCCGUGCGCUCUCACCUCUUUCCCUUUUCAUUCGCUUGUCUUCUCUCUUCUCCCCCCGCACUGCGGUCUCCCCUCCUCUGCCGUGCGGUGCGCAGGCGGGUGACUUGCCGUUGCGUCUCCCCCUUUCGUGGAGCGCUGAGCCGAUCCCCCUUCGGCCUCCCUCCUCCCGUGGGUCCUGUCUGUUGUACAUCGUCGGACCGUCUCUUCGUGUUGCCUCUCGGCCCCUUCCGCAGAGCCGCGCUCGCCUGUGCCGCCUCUCGGACGUGAGCCUUACUGUGAUUGUAUUCUCACGGUGCGUCUCCGUGUGUGUGUGGGCGCCACGCACCGCUUCUUCCAUGUGUGUCCUUGCUUGCUCUCGUCUGCCCCCCCCCCCCUCUGCCUCACACAUUCCGUAGAUGUGCGCAUGGCCGUCUUGAGGCGGCAUCGGUGCCCCUCCCUGCCAUUCUUUAAUCUCUCAUUUUCUUCGCGCAAUUUGGUGGGCGGCGCAUCCAUGUGUAUAUAUGUAUGUAUGUAGAUAUAUGUGUGCAUAUUAGUGUGUGCCGGCACGCGUGUCGCGCCACGCUCUCUUGCCCGCCUCCCCUGUGCCUGUCACUCGCUCUGGGCGCGCUGGCGGCGGGCGCCGGGUGGUGGCCGCGCGGAGGGUGGGCGGCGGCCCUUCCCUAUUUCUUUCGCUAUUUCUCUGUGUCCU
rnacentral:misc_RNA from 1 species